UAGUUUUUGAAGUAUGGCCUGCCCACUGACGUUUACAGAGGUUGAAGGGCCGCGGUAUUUUGACCGUGCAAAGGUAGCAUAAUCAUUAGUUCUUUAAUUGUGAUCUGGUAUGAAUGGCUUGACGAGACAUGAGCUGUCUUAAAGGUAUUUCUUUAUUGAAUUUAGUUUUUGAGUUAAAAUUCUUAGAUGUUUUUAUGGGACGAGAAGACCCUAUAGAGUUUGACACCUUCUUCUUCUUUUUUAUUGUGUUUGUUUAUUUUUGUAAGUUGAUUAGGUGUUUUGUUGGGGUGAUGGGAGGAAUAAAUUUUAACUCCUCUUUGAUUUUUUAUAUUUAUUUAUAUUUAUUUUGAUCCAUUUAUUUUGAUUAUAAGAUUAAAUUACCUUAGGGAUAACAGCGUUAUCUUCCUUCAGAGUUCUAAUAGGCGGGGAGGUUUGCGACCU
rnacentral:rRNA from 1 species